CACGUAGGAGGCGAGCGUUGUCCGGAAUCAUUGGGCGUAAAGAGCGCGCAGGCGGCUUGGCAAGUCGGGUGUGAAAUCCCGGGGCUCAACCCCCGUGACUGCAUCCGAUACUGUCAGGCUAGAGGUAGGUAGGGGAGAUCGGAAUUCCUGGUGUAGCGGUGAAAUGCGCAGAUAUCAGGAAGAACACCCGUGGCGAAGGCGGUUCUCUGGGACGGUACUGACGCUGAGACGCGAAAGCGUGGGGAGCGAACGG
rnacentral:rRNA from 1 species